rnacentral:rRNA from 1 species
UACGUAGGGGGCAAGCGUUGUCCGGAAUCAUUGGGCGUAAAGGGCGCGUAGGCGGCCUUCUAAGUCGAACGUGAAAUCCCCGGGCUCAACCCGGGAACUGCGUCCGAUACUGGAAGGCUUGAAUCCGGGAGAGGGAUGCGGAAUUCCAGGUGUAGCGGUGAAAUGCGUAGAUAUCUGGAGGAACACCGGUGGCGAAGGCGGCAUCCUGGACCGGCAUUGACGCUGAGGCGCGAAAGCCAGGGGAGCAAACGGG